rnacentral:rRNA from 1 species
GAUGAACGCUAGCGGCAGGCCUAAUACAUGCAAGUCGAGGGGCAGCAGGGAUAGCAAUAUUCGCUGGCGACCGGCGCACGGGUGCGUAACACGUAUACAAUCUGCCUUUAACAGGGGGAUAGCCCGGAGAAAUCCGGAUUAAUACCCCAUAACAAUGAAAUCAGCAUUGAUUUUAUUUAAAAGCUCCGGCGGUUAGAGAUGAGUAUGCGUCUGAUUAGCUAGAUGGUGAGGUAACGGCUCACCAUGGCGACGAUCAGUAGGGGAUCUGAGAGGAUUAACCCCCACACGGAUACUGAGACACGGAUCCGACUCCUACGGGAGGCAGCAGUAAGGAAUAUUGGACAAUGCCGCAAGGUGAUCCAGCCAUGCCGCGUGUGUGAAGAAGGCCUGCGGGUUGUAAAGCACUUUCAGUAGGGAAGAAAGCCGAGUGCCAAUACCACUCGGUCUUGGCGUUACCUAAAGAAGAAGCACCGCUAAC